AAUAUGUGGCAUACGGCUCAGUAACACGUAGUCAACAUGCCCAGGGGACGUGGAUAACCUCGGGAAACUGAGGAUAAACCGCGAUAGGUCAUCACUUCUGGAAUGGGUAAUGACUUAAAUCUACAUGGCCCCUGGAUUGGACUGCGGCCGAUCAGGCUGUUGGUGAGGUAAUGGCCCACCAAACCUGUAACCGGUACGGGCUCUGAGAGGAGGAGCCCGGAGAUGGGCACUGAGACAAGGGCCCAGGCCCUAUGGGGCGCAGCAGGCGCGAAACCUCUGCAAUAGGCGAAAGCUUGACAGGGUUACUCUGAGUGAUUUCCGUUAAGGAGAUCUUUUGGCACCUCUAAAAAUGGUGCAGAAUAAGGGGUGGGCAAGUCUGGUGUCAGCCGCCGCGGUAAUACCAGCACCCCGAGUGGUCGGGACGUUUAUUGGGCCUAAAGCAUCCGUAGCCGGUUCUACAAGUCUUCCGUUAAAUCCACCUGCUUAACAGAUGGGCCGCGGAAGAUACUAUAGAGCUAGGAGGCGGGAGAGGCAAGCGGUACUCGAUGGGUAGGGGUAAAAUCCGUUGAUCCAUUGAAGACCACCAGUGGCGAAGGCGGCUUGCCAGAACGCGCUCGACGGUGAGGGAUGAAAGCUGGGGGAGCAAACCGGAUUAGAUACCCGGGUAGUCCCAGCUGUAAACGA
rnacentral:rRNA from 1 species